rnacentral:rRNA from 1 species
GACGAACGCUGGCGGCGUGCCUAAUACAUGCAAGUUGAGCGCUGAAGGUUGGUACUUGUACCAACUGGAUGAGCAGCGAACGGGUGAGUAACGCGUGGGGAAUCUGCCUUUGAGCGGGGGACAACAUUUGGAAACGAAUGCUAAUACCGCAUAAAAACUUUAAACACAAGUUUUAAGUUUGAAAGAUGCAAUUGCAUCACUCAAAGAUGAUCCCGCGUUGUAUUAGCUAGUUGGUGAGGUAAAGGCUCACCAAGGCGAUGAUACAUAGCCGACCUGAGAGGGUGAUCGGCCACAUUGGGACUGAGACACGGCCCAAACUCCUACGGGAGGCAGCAGUAGGGAAGCUUCGGCAAUGGACGAAAGUCUGACCGAGCAACGCCGCGUGAGUGAAGAAGGGUGUCGGAUCGUAAAACUCGGUUGGUAGAGAAGAACGUUGGUGAGAGUGGAAAGCUCAUCAAGUGACGGUAACUACCCAGAAAGGGACGGCUAACUACGUG